rnacentral:rRNA from 1 species
ACGCUCGACACCUACGGGAGCAGCAGUGGGGAAUAUUGCACAAUGGGGGAAACCCUGAUGCAGCGACGCCGCGUGAGUGAAGAAGUAUUUCGGUAUGUAAAGCUCUAUCAGCAGGGAAGAAAAUGACGGUACCUGGGUAAGAAGCCCCGGCUAACUACGUGUCAGCAGCCGCGGUAAUCUGAGCGGGCUGGCAAGGC